GAAUUCGCCCUUCGCCCGCCGCGCGCGUGCGGGGCGGGGGCACGGGGGGCCUACGGGAGGCAGCAGUGGGGAAUAUUGGGCAAUGGGCGAAAGCCUGACCCAGCGACGCCGUGUGGGCGAUGAAGGCCUUCGGGUUGUAAAGCCCUGUGAGGUGGAAAGAAGGGUCCAGAGGUUAAUACCCUUUGGACCUUGACGGUACCACCAGAGGAAGCACCGGCUAACUCCGUGCCAGCAGCCGCGGUAAUACAAGGGCGAAUUC
rnacentral:rRNA from 1 species